rnacentral:lncRNA from 1 species
UCAUCUUCUCCAUCUCUCAAUCUGCAACCCUAGAGCAACCUUAAGAAUUCCACCAUUUCACAAGUGAUAAACCUUCCAAACAUCACCAAAUUAACCCUAUAAUCCCCAUGAUCCUUCAGUAUGAUGCUGAUACAAAUCUCUGUAAAUUCCCCGCCCCCAAAUCUAGUCAAUCCGAAUCUAAUGGAAGGAAAAGAAGAAAAUGGUAAAACCUCUCAAGCCAUCGAGUCCCAGAGGACGAUUGGGGCUGAAAUCGCCUUUGGUGGUUUGUACUCAAUGAGAACAAUCAAUUAAGGCUGAUUUCAGUUCAAAAUCGAGAGGAUCAAGUUUAUUUCAAGCCAUGUCCGUUGGUUGUCCUCUGUAGGUACAAUCGUUGUCCUCUGCACUUGUUCUUUUCCUGUCUUUAUCUCCCUCUGCAUCUUUGUUCUUCUAUUGAUUUUGUUUUCGUCGGGUUAACUGUGGCCCAUAUGCUUGAUUAGAAUGAAAGCAUGUUUAGUCUCAUUUAAUUUAAUGCUCAUGGUAGUUUUAAGUAGUUCUUUUUCCUUAUUUUGGUUUAAUUCGAAAUUCUCUUGAUUUGCACCCCUUAUCAGCUUGAAUUUUGGGGUGGGGUUGUGGUGUAUUACUGGGAAGGAAUGUGUUACUGCUAAAUUGAUAGCCCAAUGAUGUGUGGAUUCAGGCCUAUUUUAUAAAAGCCCAGGGCUGGUUCAAUCUAUGGGGUCCGCUUGACCAAUUAGUUUUAAUAGUAAAUAUCAGGGUCUGGGAGGGUAGUUUAGGCAUUUGAGAAUUAGGGAAUCUUUCAUAACAAACUGAGAAGCUUCUAGAGUGGGUGGUAUUUGAAUUUCAUACUUUUAGGUAGUGAAACUUGGGGAACAAGUUAAGAAUCCAAGGACUCCUAAGCUAAAACAAGAAUUCAAAAGGGGGCAAAGGGGUAAAAAAAUGAAAUCUGGAGGCUGCCCUACUGCUAAGCCUAUAUAAGAUAUCAUUCUUGCCUUUCAAGGCGAGAAUUGGAGAACAAAAAUUCAGAAAGAUCCAAACGGCUGAAAAUUUAUAGAACCCAACACUAUUUCAUCGAGCUCCUUUUGAUUUCUGAGAAGCCUUCAUUUUCUGAAAUACUUUCGAGUAGCCAGAGAAUUGAAAUGGAUCAAGUAGUGUUAGUUUCUGUGUUUUAGUUUGUAGCUUUGUCAAAAUUACUGUUUCAUCGAGUUCCUCUAUGCAAUUCUCAAUCUCUGGAUCUGAAAAGGGGUUUUAAGCUAUUUGGGGCUAAGGUGAUUUGAGUUUGGUGAUCUAAAAGCUGGGUUUGAAGUUUUGUCUAUGGAGUUUUUGACUUCCGGUUGUCAAUUUCUGGGCUAAAAUUGCAUCAUAUGGUUUAUCUCUGCUGCAGAACACUGUUUCUCCUGUUGUUGAGUUUUCCCUCUUUUCUUUUUUCAUUAUUCUAGGUACUUCUUGGAUCCCUUUGACAUUGAAGUGCAUCAUGAGAAAACCUUGUAGCUGAUAGGCAUUUUGGACCUUUUGAUAGCCAUGAAUGUUAAUUAAUUGAUGUAGUCGUGUGCUAUUUUGUUUUCUUUAUAUCCUUCUAUUUUAGUUAUGCUUUUUCUUGAGUUUGAGUUGUAAAUGUGGACUAAAUUCAUAAAUUAUGGUGUUGUUUAAGUGGUCUUAAAGGUUUUGAUGUCAUAUGGGUUAACUGUGGUGCUGUAGUUGUGAAGAUUCAAUUAGGUCAGUAGAUAUGUCAAUCAUGUGGUUAAUUAGGUGAAAUUGUUUGGAUUAGUUUGCAAUUUUUAUAGCUGUACGUGCAAAUGUAUUGGUCUAAUGGAAUUGAUUUAAGUAGUUGUAUUUAGAUCUGCAUUCACAUAUCUGGAAACACGACUAAGAUGAUUCAUAAUUCAUCACUGGCUCUGCUUGGG